rnacentral:lncRNA from 1 species
UGGAGUUUACCACCCGCUUUGGGCUGCAUUCCCAAGCAACCCGACUCCGGGAAGACCCGGGCCUCGAUCAGAAGGACUUGGGCCCCCCUCGAGCGGCGCCGGGGAGUGGGUCUUCCGUACGCCACAUGUCCCGCGCCCCACCGCGGGGCGGGGAUUCGGCGCUGGGCUCUUCCCUGUUCACUCGCCGUUACUGAGGGAAUCCUGGUUAGUUUCUUUUCCUCCGCUGACUAAUAUGCUUAAAUUCAGCGGGUCGCCACGUCUGAUCUGAGGUCGCGUCUCGGAGGGGGCCGGGCCGGCCGGCGGGGACCGGGAGCCCGCGAGCGACGGGAGGCGGCGAGAGAGGGGGAGCGUCGGGGCGCGCGCGCCGUCGCGGGGAGGGGUGGCGGCGGGCGCCGGGAAGCGCGGAGACGCCCCGCGG